UACGUAGGGGGCAAGCGUUGUCCGGAAUCAUUGGGCGUAAAGAGCGCGUAGGCGGCCCUGUAAGUCCGCUGUGAAAGUCAAGGGCUCAACCCUUGAAUGCCGGUGGAUACUGCAGGGCUAGAGUCCGGAAGAGGCGAGUGGAAUUCCUGGUGUAGCGGUGAAAUGCGCAGAUAUCAGGAGGAACACCGGUGGCGAAGGCGGGUCGCUGGGACGGUACUGACGCUGAGACGCGAAAGCGUGGGGAGCGAACAGG
rnacentral:rRNA from 1 species